UUCUCUUUAGUGUAUCUUCCGUCGAUUGGUAUCUUCCUACAUCGUUUCCGUCGCUUCUUUCGUCCCGAUAUAUUUUCCGUUCUCUUCUCGAGCGUUGUAGUCUUGUCGCACGGUCAAUCGUAAUUAUUUCGGAAUAAUCCCGGAAUAAAAAAGUUAUCCUUGUGAUAGAAACUUUGUUGUGAUGCAAUAACAACGCGUUUGUAAAAUAUGCCUGACGCACGGACACACUACUGGCAAUCAUCAAUGACAAUGCACUUAAAGUUUGAAAAAGGAUCAUGGAAACAUCGAGGGUGCUAUACCCUGGAUUACCCUUCAUCACUGACAAGGGUUGAUUCAAGCAGGAUAUGGAACACGAGAACACUUGUCAUCUCUCAUGCACGUGGCAAAUACAGCUCUUUUUCACAUCCCGUCUAUCGAUGAUGAAAAUCUUAAAAUACUUUGUGUUUAUUAUACUGUGAUCUAAAAAAACUUGUGUGUAUUAGACAUUUUCAAAAAGAUUUGUAAAAAUGUAAUUAUAAAGCAU